UUACUAGGGGAGCCGUAACUGGCUGAGAGGAGGUUCGACCUCGACUCUUAUUACUUGAACCAGAUAAUGCUGGCGAAAGGAAGUAAAAUU
rnacentral:ncRNA from 1 species